rnacentral:snoRNA from 1 species
GUGCCCUUUUAAGGUUGAUGCAGUGCUAUAAGAGGCUAACACUGAAGGGUAAAGGAAACCUUUAUAAAACAAGAGAAGAGACUACAAAAGUCUUUGAAUACUGCCUGCAGUUACAGCU